rnacentral:tRNA from 1 species
GAGGGUAUAGCUCAGUGGUAGAGUGCAUGCUUAGCAUGCAGGAGGUCAUGGGUUAGAUCCCCAGUACCUCCA